GGGCGAAGUGUCAUUUGUGCGGUUAAAUCUGCAUUAUGCCCGCUUUAAUUGCAUCAGCUGCCAGAGACAUCUAGGAAUAAUGGCAUUAAAGAGGGAAAUAGCAAUCAUCUUCAGAAGGCUGCAACAUAAUGGAGGGACCUAAUUAAUUUAACCUUGCAGUCUUCCAUAAUGGCUGCACUUUAUCAUUUCCACAGAUGGAGCUUGAAGGAAUUAACAAUGCCGUUUAUCCCAGCUGACAUGUCUGACUGCGGUUAGCCAAUGGCACAUUUCCCACUUCAAGAUGCAUUUCUUCACUUGAGGGAAACCAAGGCGAGCGCUGGCAAUAGCUGCCGAAACUUGCCGCUGUGACGUGUGUGUGGCAUGCUGGAGAAAAGGCACGAGAUCGGUCUCUUUAUGGGCUCAUCGAGUGAUGCUGGGAGAAGACAGAGUGUUUCCCUGCUUACCCGAGCCGAGACGUUUCCAAUACUGUUUCAGGGUGUUGUUUUUGUUUUUGUUUUUGGUUUUGUUUUUCCAUUAUAUUCCCCUUUACUACAUUUCCCUUUAACUGCGUGUCCCGCUAAUCUUUUCCUCCAGAUUCACAUAAUUCAACCCAACGCAUUUCCAAGACGAUUCCCAGCGUUACCAGACUCUGUGCUCGGGAAACCUGAGCAGCCCCGAGCAAACGAUGCGCUCUGCGCGUCGUCGCGUCCUACGGUCACCCGCACGCACAGCCCCGACUCACGCGUGGCUGUCACCCCGCAGCCGGGAAGGGAGAAACUCGCCGCUCCUCAAAGCCCGGCUGCGGGAACCCCCUCUGUUCCCCGGUGUUUACACGGGAAUAAAUCGAGGAGGUAAAAUGUUCUGCACCUCUGCCCGCACCGCUGGGAUACGGAAGGGCGGCGUUCGGCAGCUUUCGGAGGGGCGUUUGUUGUUACCCCGAACAACGGGACCGGGCGCGGUGGCGGAUGAGCGUCAGACAGGUGCGCUCUCCGCUCAGUUCCCUCUGCCCCCCCUCCCGUUCUUUAAACGUUUGAAACCCCACCCCAAAGGUGGGGACAGAUCCCCU
ensembl:lncRNA